rnacentral:pre_miRNA from 1 species
AAACAGCCCCCUAUGUUUGGAUUCUUUAGCAGUUUUGGACCCCAAGGAAAAAUAAAAAAUAAAAAAAAUGACACGUGGCACCUCACUUAGGGUGCCACGUCAGCGUUGACCGAGUCAACAAUGGACUGGGGGUCCAAAACUACCAAAGAAUCAAAACAUAGGGGACUGUUU